ACCCCACUGCUAUCGGGAUAGGACUAAGACAUGCUAGUUGAGCGCUUCCAGCCAACACGGGAGCGCAGCGCACAGCUCAGUAACACGUGGCUAAUCUGCCCUUGGGACCGGAACACCCCCGGGAAACUGGGGCUAAUUCUCGAUAGGUGAAGAACUCUGGAAUGAGUCUUUGCCAAAAAGUCGCUUACGUUAUGCUCGUAGGCGCCGCCCAAGGAUGAGGCCGCGACCGAUCAGGUUGUUGGUGAGGUAAUGGCUCACCAAGCCUUUUACCGGUGCGGGCCGUGAGAGCGGGAGCCCGGAGAUGGGCACUGAGACAAGGGCCCAGGCCCUACGGGGCGCAGCAGUCGCGAAAACUUUGCAAUACACGAAAGUGUGACAGGGCUAUCCCGAGUGCCAUCCGCUGAGGAAGGCUUUUACCCAGUCUAGAACGCUGGGGGAAUAAGGAGAGGGCAAGUCUGGUGUCAGCCGCCGCGGUAAUACCAGCUCUCCGAGUGGUGUGGAUGUUUAUUGGGCCUAAAGCAUCCGUAGCUGGCUAAGUUAGUCCCUUGUUAAAUCCACCGAAUUAAUCGUUGGAUUGCGGGGGAUACUGCUCGGCUAGGGGACGAGAGAGGCAGACGGUAUUUCCGGGGUAGGGGUGAAAUCCUAUAAUCCCGGGAAGACCACCAGUGGCGAAGGCUGUCUGCUAGAACGCGCCCGACGGUGAGGGAUGAAAGCUGGGGGGGCGAACCGGAUUAGAUACCCGGGUAGUCCCAGCUGUAAACGAUGCAGGCUAGGUGUUUGGACGGCCACGUGCCGUUCUAGUGCCGCAGGGAAGCUGUUAAGCCUGCCGCCUGGGGAGUACGGUCGCAAGAUUGAAACUUAAAGGAAU
rnacentral:rRNA from 1 species